UACAGAGGGUGCGAGCGUUGUCCGGAAUCACUGGGCGUAAAGGGCGCGUAGGUGGCGGAGUAAGCGUGUGGUGAAAGUCCGGGGCUCAACCCCGGAUCGGCCAUGCGAACUGCUUCGCUGGAGCACGGUAGAGGCACAUGGAAUUCCGGGUGUAGCGGUGGAAUGCGUAGAGAUCCGGAAGAACACCGGUGGCGAAGGCGGUGUGCUGGGCCGUUGCUGACACUGAGGCGCGACAGCGUGGGGAGCAAACAGG
rnacentral:rRNA from 1 species